GUUGUGGCUCAGUGGUAGAGUGCUUGCCUAUCAUGCACGAGGUGCUGGGUUCAAUGCUCAACACGACA
rnacentral:tRNA from 1 species